CCGGAUUUGACAUGCAAGUGGUAGUGAAGCGAAAGCGGAACGACCCUUCGGGGAGCUUGCACAGGUGCUGCAUGGCUGUCGUCAGCUCGUGUCGUGAGAUGUCCGGUUAAGUCCGGUAACGAGCGCAACCCCUGCUGCGUGUUACAGGUGUCACGCGGGACUGCCGAUAUAAAGUCGGAGGAAGGUGGGGAUGACGUCAAGUCAGCAUGGCCUUUAUGUCCGGGGCUACACACACGCUACAAUGGCCGGUACAAUGGGUAGCAAAGCCGCAAGGUGGAGCCAAUCCCCAAAGCCGGUCUCAGUUCAGAUUGCAGGCUGCAACCCGCCUGCAUGAAGUCGGAGUUGCUAGUAACCGCGCGUCAGCUAUAGUGCGGUGAAUACGUUCCC
rnacentral:rRNA from 1 species